rnacentral:rRNA from 1 species
UACGUAGGCAGCGAGCGUUGUUCGGAGUUACUGGGCGUAAAGAGUGCGUAGGCGGUUUUCUAAGUUUGGUGUGAAAUCUCCCGGCUUAACUGGGAGGGUGCGCCGAAAACUGGAAGGCUUGAGUAUGGGAGAGGUAAGCGGAAUUCCUGGUGUAGCGGUGAAAUGCGUAGAUAUCAGGAGGAACACCUGCGGUGUAGACGGCUUACUGGACCAUAACUGACGCUGAGGCGCGAAAGCUAGGGGAGCAAACAGG